rnacentral:precursor_RNA from 1 species
CGAUACCUGGUGUUGAUUCUGGCUGAGUUCGUGGCAGGAUAAAGGUUUGCCUGUCACAGCCAAUAUUGAUACCCGGUGUUG